CAUUGUCACGCAGCGUCAGAGAAGGUGAGAAUCUCGUGUGUGAUCAGUGACCAACCCUAUGUGACACCCCAUCGACGAGUCGAGUUGUUUGGAAAUGCAGCUCAUAAUGGGUGGUAAAUUUCAUCUAAAGCUAAAUAUCCGCCAGAGACCGAUAGCGCACAAGUAGAGUGAUCGAAAGAUGAAAAGCACUUUGGAAAGAGAGUCAAAAAGUACGUGAAAUUGUUGAAAGGGAAGCGCUUGCAACCAGACCUGUCCGUCGGCGAUCAACCUCCGUUCUCGGGGGUGCACUCGUCAGCGAUCAGGCCAGCAUCGGUUCGGGCGGUCGGAUAAAGGCCUUGGGAAUGUAGCUCCUCUUAGGGAAUCUUAUAGCCUUGGGUGCAAUGCGGCCAGCCCGGACCGAGGACCGCGUUUUGGCUAGGAUGCUGGCGUAAUGGCUGUAAGCGACCCGUCUUGAAACACGGACCAAGGAGUCUAAUAUCUAUGCAAGUGUUUGGGUAUCAAACCCGUACGCGUAAUGAAAGUGAACGGAGGUGAGAACCCUUAAGGGCGCAUCAUCGACCGAUCCAGAUGUCUUCGGAUGGAUUUGAGUACGAGCAUAGCUGUUGGGACCCGAAAGAUGGUGAACUAUGCCUGAAUAGGGUGAAGCCAGAGGAAACUCUG
rnacentral:rRNA from 1 species